rnacentral:piRNA from 2 species
UAAAAGUCAUGAGCUGGUCCGGGAC